rnacentral:rRNA from 1 species
UACGUAGGGUGCAAGCGUUAUCCGGAAUUAUUGGGCGUAAAGAGCUCGUAGGCGGUUUGUCGCGUCUGCUGUGAAAACUGGGGGCUCAACCCCCAGCCUGCAGUGGGUACGGGCAGACUAGAGUGCGGUAGGGGAGAUUGGAAUUCCUGGUGUAGCGGUGAAAUGCGCAGAUAUCAGGAAGAACACCCGUGGCGAAGGCGGCUCUCUGGGACGGUACUGACGCUGAGACGCGAAAGCGUGGGGAGCGAACAGG